rnacentral:rRNA from 1 species
CGUUGUUCGGAAUCACUGGGCGUAAAGGGCGUGUAGGCGGGCUCACACGUCAGGGGUGAAAUCCCACGGCUCAACCGUGGAAGUGCCUUUGAUACUGUGGGUCUUGAGGGAGGUAGGGGCGUGCGGAACUUCCGGUGGAGCGGUGAAAUGCGUAGAUAUCGGAAGGAACACCGGUGGCGAAAGCGGCGCGCUGGACCUCUUCUGACGCUGAGGCGCGAAAGCCAGGGGAGCAAACGGG